rnacentral:rRNA from 1 species
UACAGAGGUCCCAAGCGUUGUUCGGAUUCACUGGGCGUAAAGGGUGCGUAGGCGGUCGGGUAAGUCUGAUGUGAAAUCUCACAGCUUAACUGUGAAACUGCAUUGGAUACUAUUCGGCUUGAGAGUUGGAGGGGGGACUGGAAUUCUUGGUGUAGCAGUGAAAUGCGUAGAUAUCAAGAGGAACACCAGUGGCGAAGGCGAGUCCCUGGACAACACUGACGCUCAUGACACGAAAGCGUGGGGAGCAAACAGG